rnacentral:tRNA from 1 species
GCACUGAUGAUUCAGUGGCAGAAUUCUUGCCUCCCAUGCAAGAGACCCGGGUUCAAUUCCUGGCCAAUGUG